AUUGAACGCUGGCGGCAGGCCUAACACAUGCAAGUCGAACGAGUGGCGGACGGGUGAGUAAUGUCUGGGAAACUGCCUGAUGGAGGGGGAUAACUACUGGAAACGGUAGCUCAUACCGCAUACCAUCGGAUGUGCCCAUAUGGGAUUAGCUAUUAGGUGGGGGAAAGGCUCACAUAGGCGACGAUCCCUAGCGGGGCUGAGAGGAUGACCAGCCACACUGGAACUGAGACACGGUCCAGACUCCUACGGGAGGAAGCAGUGGGGAAUAUUGCACAAUGGGCGCAAGCCUGAUGCAGCCAUGCCGCGUGGAUGAAGAAGGCGUUCGGGUUGUAAAGUACUUUCAGCGGGGAGGAGUUACCCGCAGAAGAAGCACAGGCUAACUCCGUGCCAGCCGCCGCGGUAAUAC
rnacentral:rRNA from 1 species